UGUUGGGAAGGUACACAAAUAUUGUACAUGUAUUUGCUAUAGAUUAGUUAUAGAGUUCUUUUUCUUUAGAUUUAGAAAGAAUAGUGCCUAAAAAAUAAAAUACCAGGUGAUGUGCUCUGAAUGACAAUGUUCUGAAUGCAUCAUUUCCACAUGUCUACCAACUUUUCUAUUACUCCCUAUGUAUACCAGUCUCUACUGCAGUAAGGUAAGAACAUUUAGUCCAAUGGAUAACAUCUGUAAACCAGAGAGAAAUAGACUGAUACAGGAUCACCUGAAUACCAUAAUGAGGAUAAAGAGGGCCAUGGAAAACUCCCGAAUGAGAAUUUAAAAAAAAUGGUUGAUAUGUUGAAAAUAGAACGUAAAGAAAAUUGGAAUUUUGAAAUCAUGUAUAUCAUCAUUAAAAUAUGUAGAAC
rnacentral:lncRNA from 1 species